rnacentral:rRNA from 1 species
AAGCUCGUAGUUGAAUUUCGGGAUUAGUACGUCGGUCGUGCCUUAGGUACGUACUGGUGCUACUGGUUUCUACCUUCUGACGAACCAUCAUGUCAUUAAUUUGGUGUGGUGGGGAAUCAGGACUGUUACUUUGAAAAAAUUAGAGUGUUUAAAGCAGGCUCGCGCUUGAAUACAUUAGCAUGGAAUAAUGAAAUAGGACGUUGAUCCUAUUUUGUUGGUUUCUAGGAUUGACGUAAUGAUUAAUAGGGAUAGUUGGG